UACGAAGGGGGCUAGCGUUGCUCGGAAUCACUGGGCGUAAAGGGUGCGUAGGCGGGUCUUUAAGUCAGGGGUGAAAUCCUGGAGCUCAACUCCAGAACUGCCUUUGAUACUGAAGAUCUUGAGUUCGGGAGAGGUGAGUGGAACUGCGAGUGUAGAGGUGAAAUUCGUAGAUAUUCGCAAGAACACCAGUGGCGAAGGCGGCUCACUGGCCCGAUACUGACGCUGAGGCACGAAAGCGUGGGAGCAAACGGG
rnacentral:rRNA from 1 species